GCAGCAGAGGAUGGGGGUGAAGCUUGUCUGUGCAUGUGUCCUAGGCAUGCCCCCAUGCCCUGAACAGUAUGGUACAGGAAGGAGUUGAGAGCAGGAAGAGAAGGGGGUGGGGUAGUACUGGGAGCUGGGGAUGGGAAGCUGCUCUCCCUGUGAAAUUUCCUGGUGCAGAACUCCGAAUCAAAAUUUUAAGUUCCAAUCUGGCUUUCAGCAUAAGCUUUCUCCAGAAUUGACUCUACAGUGAAGAACAUGGUGGCGCUGACAUUUACUGACAUACAUUGCCCUGCCCUCAGAUCCACACUGAAGAGAAGAAUGAAUGGAUCAGGAUCACAAUGAAAAGAGAUCAGAAAACUGAAGUGUAGAAAGAUGAAAUAACUUGAAAGAUUGCAACACCUCUGGCUACCAUGUGAAGGAAAGGCUGACAGAACAAAAGAGACAGCAGCAAGACUGACUGGGAGGCUGAUAUGCUAAUGCCCAAUGGAUGAGGUAGCUGAAACUAGUUUGCUGGAAAUGAAAAUACAAGAACCUUCCACCCCCAGUUUCCUGGUUCUUGAUGGCUUUCACACGGCAUGGAAGAUAACGAGAAGUUUCCACAUGCUUCUGGUAGAAUUUCAAAGGAAAGCAGCUGCGAACCAGUAGGCUUUCCAUGGGACUAUCUGCUAAAGAAUGAGGUGAUCCCCAAACAGGUAUUUCUAGAUAAACAACCUAAGCUAAGAUCAUUUUGAAGAUACGAUUAGGAUGCUUGGGGAUCUCUAGAUUCAGAAAGUUCUGAGAUGGGGGCAAGUAUACCAUAAGGAAUAAUGAGGCUCUCACCGUGCCUAAAGCAUAGACUGCAAAUUCUCCAGCUAAAGGCUGUAGGCACAGAUGCCAGCAGGAUGCCCAGUGGCCAGGAAAGACAGGGAAAUAGCUGCAACAUUCAGUAAGCACUUAGAGGACAGAACCACAUGUAAACCAGCUCCAAGUUCCUUUUACCAUGAGGACAUGUAAGAUUCCUUCUACUUCCAGGUUGCUGGCCAAAGGGACAUGAAGAUGUAUUGAUAUUUAAGAAAUAGUCCUGAUAACAAGUUUGAACUGUGAAAUUGAUUAUUUAUCAAGUGUGAUUAUUAAAGAAUGUGAUGAUUUUUACCCAAAAAGGAUUGUUUUAAAUUGGAAGAAACUUUGAGAAACCUUCAAUGAAAAAUCAAGAUUUUCUUCAUCUUUUUUUAGAGGAUAAAAUCAUCUGUUAAAAUAAAGAAUAUUGUGCUCUAACUUUUCCAUCUCUGAAUAUGUGCAAAUCCAUUUGAUUAAGUGAGAUGGCAGUUAUUGAAGGCUUCCUCAAGAGCUGCAGCAGAACUCAUUGGGCAGAGGAACCAUAAUAGGGUGAUUUGAGGAGUGAGAAGAUGAGGAAAUGGAGGCAGCAAGAGAAAUGUGGCUGUUUAGGGUCGUUAAAGUUAGGAAAUGUACUUGAGGGUAUGGAAGAAAGGAUUCUAUUUAUUUUGGCAAAAAAAACAAUGAAUUUAAAUGUUGAUGAGAGAGAUCAGAAAAGAGAAAGAGUGGAAAUUGAAGAAAAAGAAGGAAAUUAAUGGAGAAUAUAGAAAAUAAAUACAGUAGAAAAAAUACAGGGGUAUGUCUAACUGACUCCAAGGAGAGAAUGGCCUUUAUAAACAAUACCAAAGAAAGGAAACUACAAGCAGCAUUAACAGCAGACUUCUUGUAUGCAUCAGAAAUCACCUGAUAUAAAAUUUAAAAGACUAUAGAUAGCUUUACUAUAUAAUAAGAUUUCAAGACUCAAGAAAAUGUGUAAGCAUGUACAUCAAAAAAUUUACAGGGGAUAUACACUUAUAACUCACAAAAGAAUGCAAACCAAUUGAUAGAAAGAUGAUGUUCAACUUCGCUAUUAAAAAAUGCAAAUUAAAACAAUAAGAAACAAUCUUGCUUAUUAAAUUAGAAAAGAUAAAAAUUAGACCAUCUGUUUAUUUCCUUUGUAAUACUUAAAACAGUGUAGAACUAAUUUAUAAGCUGGUCUGUUCAUUUACUUCAGUUUUUA